rnacentral:tRNA from 1 species
CCAACCAUAGCUCAGCUGGUAGAGCGUAGGACUGUAGUUUAAUGGCUCAGAUCCUUAGGUCGCUGGUUCGAGUCCGGCUGGUUGGA